CAGCGGCCACGGGAAUACGGAGGGUGCAAGCGUUAUCCGGAUUUAUUGGGUUUAAAGGGUCCGUAGGCGGACUUAUAAGUCAGUGGUGAAAGCCUGUCGCUUAACGAUAGAACUGCCAUUGAUACUGUAAGUCUUGAGUAUAUUUGAGGUAGCUGGAAUAAGUAGUGUAGCGGUGAAAUGCAUAGAUAUUACUUAGAACACCAAUUGCGAAGGCAGGUUACCAAGAUAUAACUGACGCUGAGGGACGAAAGCGUGGGUAGCGAACAGGAUUAGAUACCCGCGUAGUCCCUGUCUCUUAUAC
rnacentral:rRNA from 1 species